UAUAAUGCACAGUGCAGGUAAUAUUCAACGUCGCGGCGUGCGGCUCCCGCGCCGCGAGUGCUAAGUUCAAGGCAUCCGUUGCUCAACACCAGCAGCACUGCCUUGUCCCCGCGCCGCGCUAGAACAAUGGAGACAAACGCAGUGUCGACCCGUCACUUUACCUACAAAGCCUCGCGUUUCACGGACUCAUAAAUAAACACAACAUUUUAGAAGUUACGCAAACAGAAAAUAUUUCAUUGUAGGGUAGAAGUUAUUUAAGUACAUACGAGGUAUAUUCAGAAAACAUGGGGAAUUUUAAAAUUUCUUAACAGCGGAGUUGCCAAGCACUCAAGCACUUCAGGGGAUCAAACAUUAUAUCUCGCAGCUCAAUAAAAGUGCCUCGCCCAAGUCAAGAAAGAAUCGGAGUCGAGCAAGCUGAAGCUGAAGCCGAAGCGGCGCUCGAGGCGACUCCCUGCUCGCGACCUACGGGGACGAAUCCGACACCGUCCAGAGA